UACGUAGGGUCCAAGCGUUAUCCGGAAUCACUGGGCGUAAAGCGUGCGUAGGCGGCGUGUUAAGUGUGAUGUUAAAUCGUGUGGCUCAACCAUAUCGAUGCAUCACAUACUGGCAUGCUAGAGGAAGGCAGAGGCAAGUGGAAUUGGUAGUGUAGCAGUGAAAUGCGUAGAUAUUACCAGGAACACCAAUGGCGAAGGCAGCUUGCUGGGCCUUUUCUGACGCUGAGGUACGAAAGCGUGGGGAGCGAACAGG
rnacentral:rRNA from 1 species